rnacentral:rRNA from 1 species
GACGAACGCUGGCGGCGUGCUUAACACAUGCAAGUCGAACGGAAAGGCCCUGCUUUUGUGGGGUGCUCGAGUGGCGAACGGGUGAGUAACACGUGAGUAACCUGCCCUUGACUUUGGGAUAACUUCAGGAAACUGGGGCUAAUACCGGAUAGGAGCUCCUGCUGCAUGGUGGGGGUUGGAAAGCUUCGGCGGUUGGGGAUGGACUCGCGGCUUAUCAGCUUGUUGGUGGGGUAGUGGCUUACCAAGGCUUUGACGGGUAGCCGGCCUGAGAGGGUGACCGGCCACAUUGGGACUGAGAUACGGCCCAGACUCCUACGGGAGGCAGCAGUGGGGAAUAUUGCACAAUGGGCGGAAGCCUGAUGCAGCAACGCCGCGUGCGGGAUGACGGCCUUCGGGUUGUAAACCGCUUUCGCCUGUGACGAAGCGUGAGUGACGGUAAUGGGUAAAGAAGCACCGGCUAACUACGUGCCAGCAGCCGCGGUGAUACGUAGGGUGCGAGCGUUGUCCGGAUUUAUUGGGCGUAAAGGGCUCGUAGGUGGUUGAUCGCGUCGGAAGUGUAAUCUUGGGGCUUAACCCUGAGCGUGCUUUCGAUACGGGUUGACUUGAGGAAGGUAGGGGAGAAUGGAAUUCCUGGUGGAGCGGUGGAAUGCGCAGAUAUCAGGAGGAACACCAGUGGCGAAGGCGGUUCUCUGGGCCUUUCCUGACGCUGAGGAGCGAAAGCGUGGGGAGCGAACAGGCUUAGAUACCCUGGUAGUCCACGCUGUAAACGGUGGGUACUAGGUGUGGGGUCCAUUCCACGGGUUCCGUGCCGUAGCUAACGCUUUAAGUACCCCGCCUGGGGAGUACGGCCGCAAGGCUAAAACUCAAAGGAAUUGACGGGGCCCCGCACAAGCGGCGGAGCAUGCGGAUUAAUUCGAUGCAACGCGGAGAACCUUACCUGGGUUUGACAUGGAUCGGGAGUGCUCAGAGAUGGGUGUGCCUCUUUUGGGGUCGGUUCACAGGUGGUGCAUGGCUGUCGUCAGCUCGUGUCGUGAGAUGUUGGGUUAAGUCCCGCAACGAGCGCAACCCCUGUUCACUGUUGCCAGCACGUUAUGGUGGGGACUCAGUGGAGACCGCCGGGGUCAACUCGGAGGAAGGUGGGGAUGACGUCAAGUCAUCAUGCCCCUUAUGUCCAGGGCUUCACGCAUGCUACAAUGGCUGGUACAGAGAGUGGCGAGCCUGUGAGGGUGAGCGAAUCUCGGAAAGCCGGUCUCAGUUCGGAUUGGGGUCUGCAACUCGACCUCAUGAAGUCGGAGUCGCUAGUAAUCGCAGAUCAGCAACGCUGCGGUGAAUACGUUCCCGGG